rnacentral:rRNA from 1 species
CAGUAGCCACGGUAAUACGAAGGGUGCAAGCGUUAAUCGGAAUUACUGGGCGUAAAGCGUGCGUAGGCGGUGAGUUAAGUCUGCUGUGAAAUCCCCGGGCUCAACCUGGGAAUGGCAGUGGAUACUGGCUCGCUAGAGUGUGUCAGAGGAUGGUGGAAUUCCCGGUGUAGCGGUGAAAUGCGUAGAGAUCGGGAGGAACAUCAGUGGCGAAGGCGGCCAUCUGGAACAACACUGACGCUGAGGCACGAAAGCGUGGGGAGCAAACAGGAUUAGAUACCCCCGUAGUCCCUGUCUCUUAUAC